rnacentral:rRNA from 1 species
GAUGAACGCUGGCGGCGUGCCUAAUACAUGCAAGUCGAGCGAACGGACGAGAAGCUUGCUUCUCUGAUGUUAGCGGCGGACGGGUGAGUAACACGUGGAUAACCUACCUAUAAGACUGGGAUAACUUCGGGAAACCGGAGCUAAUACCGGAUAAUAUUUUGAACCGCAUGGUUCAAAAGUGAAAGACGGUCUUGCUGUCACUUAUAGAUGGAUCCGCGCUGCAUUAGCUAGUUGGUAAGGUAACGGCUUACCAAGGCAACGAUGCAUAGCCGACCUGAGAGGGUGAUCGGCCACACUGGAACUGAGACACGGUCCAGACUCCUACGGGAGGCAGCAGUAGGGAAUCUUCCGCAAUGGGCGAAAGCCUGACGGAGCAACGCCGCGCGAGUGAUGAAGGUCUUCGGAUCGUAAAACUCUGUUAUUAGGGAAGGACAUAUGUGUAAGUAACUGUGCACAUCUUGACGGUACCUAAUCAGAAAGCCACGGCUAACUACGUGCCAGCAGCCGCGGUAAUACGUAGGUGGCAAGCGUUAUCCGGAAUUAUUGGGCGUAAAGCGCGCGUAGGCGGUUUUUUAAGUCUGAUGUGAAAGCCCACGGCUCAACCGUGGAGGGUCAUUGGAAACUGGAAAACUUGAGUGCAGAAGAGGAAAGUGGAAUUCCAUGUGUAGCGGUGAAAUGCGCAGAGAUAUGGAGGAACACCAGUGGCGAAGGCGACUUUCUGGUCUGUAACUGACGCUGAUGUGCGAAAGCGUGGGGAUCAAACAGGAUUAGAUACCCUGGUAGUCCACGCCGUAAACGAUGAGUGCUAAGUGUUAGGGGGUUUCCGCCCCUUAGUGCUGCAGCUAACGCAUUAAGCACUCCGCCUGGGGAGUACGACCGCAAGGUUGAAACUCAAAGGAAUUGACGGGGACCCGCACAAGCGGUGGAGCAUGUGGUUUAAUUCGAAGCAACGCGAAGAACCUUACCAAAUCUUGACAUCCUUUGACAACUCUAGAGAUAGAGCCUUCCCCUUCGGGGGACAAAGUGACAGGUGGUGCAUGGUUGUCGUCAGCUCGUGUCGUGAGAUGUUGGGUUAAGUCCCGCAACGAGCGCAACCCUUAAGCUUAGUUGCCAUCAUUAAGUUGGGCACUCUAAGUUGACUGCCGGUGACAAACCGGAGGAAGGUGGGGAUGACGUCAAAUCAUCAUGCCCCUUAUGAUUUGGGCUACACACGUGCUACAAUGGACAAUACAAAGGGCAGCGAAACCGCGAGGUCAAGCAAAUCCCAUAAAGUUGUUCUCAGUUCGGAUUGUAGUCUGCAACUCGACUACAUGAAGCUGGAAUCGCUAGUAAUCGUAGAUCAGCAUGCUACGGUGAAUACGUUCCCGGGUCU